rnacentral:rRNA from 1 species
AUUGAACGCUGGCGGCAGGCUUAACACAUGCAAGUCGAGCGGGGAAAGGUAGCUUGCUACCUGACCUAGCGGCGGACGGGUGAGUAAUGCUUAGGAAUCUGCCUAUUAGUGGGGGACAACAUCUCGAAAGGGAUGCUAAUACCGCAUACGUCCUACGGGAGAAAGCAGGGGACCUUCGGGCCUUGCGCUAAUAGAUGAGCCUAAGUCGGAUUAGCUAGUUGGUGGGGUAAAGGCCUACCAAGGCGACGAUCUGUAGCGGGUCUGAGAGGAUGAUCCGCCACACUGGGACUGAGACACGGCCCAGACUCCUACGGGAGGCAGCAGUGGGGAAUAUUGGACAAUGGGGGGAACCCUGAUCCAGCCAUGCCGCGUGUGUGAAGAAGGCCUUUUGGUUGUAAAGCACUUUAAGCGAGGAGGAGGCUACCGAGAUUAAUACUCUUGGAUAGUGGACGUUACUCGCAGAAUAAGCACCGGCUAACUCUGUGCCAGCAGCCGCGGUAAAAC